CGCACAUUGCGCCCCCUGGUAUUCCGGCGGGCAUGCCUAUUCGAGCGUCAUUUCUAUCCUCAAGCUCUGCUUGGUAUUGGGUGGCAAGCCUCAACCCCCCGGGGAAGUGGCUCCCCCGAAAAUUAGCGGCGGAUCGGCCGGGGUCCCAGCGCAGUGACUUUUUUUUCUCGCUGAUUGGAUCCCUGGGCGGCUCUUGCCGGGACAACAAAAAACCUUUUUAUCAAGAUUGACCUCGGAUUAGGUAGGGAUACCCGCUGAACUUAA
rnacentral:misc_RNA from 1 species